rnacentral:rRNA from 1 species
AUUGAACGCUGGCGGCAGGCCUAACACAUGCAAGUCGAGCGGAUGAAGGGAGCUUGCGCCUGGAUUCAGCGGCGGACGGGUGAGUAAUGCCUAGGAAUCUGCCUGGUCUUGGGGGAUAACGUCCGGAAACGGGCGCUAAUACCGUAUACGUCAUGAUGGUGAAAGUGGUGGAUCUUCGGACAUCACGCUUUUUGCUGAGCCUAGUUGGGAUUAGCUAGUUGGUGUGGUAACGGCCUACCAAGGCGACGAUCCGUAACUGGUCUGAGAGGAUGAUCUGCCACACUGGAACUGAGACACGGUCCAGACUCCUACGGGAGGCAGCAGUGGGGAAUAUUGGACAAUGGGCGAAAGCCUGAUCCAGCCAUGCCGCGUGUGUGAAGAAGGUCUUCGGAUUGUAAAGCACUUUAAGUUGGGAGGAAGGGCAGUAAGUUAAUACCUUGCUGUUUUGACGUUACCAACAGAAUAAGCACCGGCUAACUUCGUG